rnacentral:rRNA from 1 species
UGGGGAAUAUUGGACAAUGGGCGAAAGCCUGAUCCAGCCAUGCCGCGUGUGUGAAGAAGGUCUUCGGAUUGUAAAGCACUUUAAGUUGGGAGGAAGGGCAGUAAAUUAAUACUUUGCUGUUUUGACGUUACCGACAGAAUAAGCACCGGCUAACUCUGUGCCAGCAGCCGCGGUAAUACAGAGGGUGCAAGCGUUAAUCGGAAUUACUGGGCGUAAAGCGCGCGUAGGUGGUUCGUUAAGUUGGAUGUGAAAUCCCCGGGCUCAACCUGGGAACUGCAUUCAAAACUGACGAGCUAGAGUAUGGUAGAGGGUGGUGGAAUUUCCUGUGUAGCGG